AUGACUUUGAUCUGCGUCCUCAUGUGGACUCUCCUCUGCUGCUGCUUCACAGAGUCCAGAGGUCAGGUCACAGUGACUCAGUGUGCAGCAGUGAGCUCUGCUGUGGGACGCUCCGUCUCCAUCUCAUGUAGGACCAGUCAGGAUGUCUAUGUUUAUAACAGCAACAACCAAUUAGCCUGGUACCAACAGAAAGACGGAAAACCUCCUAAACUUCUCAUUUAUGGCGCUACCAGCCGACAAUCAGGAAUCUCAGAUCGUUUUUCAGGCAGUGGAUUUGGAUCUGACUUCACUCUGACCAUCAGUGGAGUUCAGGCUGAAGAUGCUGCAGUUUAUUACUGUCAGAGUUUUCAUUAUAUAAACGGCCAGCAUCUGUUCACACAGUGAAAACCCGUCGUACAAAAACCUCCCUCAGUCAGGCUGAACAGAAACUAACAGCUGGAAGCUUCAGCAGUUCACUGAUGACAUAAACACGUGUAGCAACA